GUGUCAUUGCACAUUUUUCUGAACACUAAGGCAGUUGGCAAAAGAAGGCUCAAAGGGCUUGGUUCAGAAGAAUUGAAUUUAGGCUUUCUUUACUGCUUUUACCAGCUGUGUGCCUCAGGCUGAUCCCAAAGCUGUAAGAUGGAGAAUGAAUAUAAGAAAAUUCUGCUAGGAGAGGCCCCAGAAAACAUCACUGAUGAAGAACUGAAGUUCAAGUUCUGUGUUCCAGAAAAGUACAAGAUUUCCAAAGGACAACUAGAGGCUGCAGACAGGACAGAGGUUACUAAAGCCAAAAAAGGUGAACCAAAAACCACCAAAUGAAGUCAGCUCAUCUGAGCAACUCUUAACGGACGAAUCCCUGAUAUCACCUCUUCAACCAGAUUCUUUGUUGCAUGAUAGUAACAGUUCACAGACUUCUCUCCCCACUCACCACCAGCAAAUUAGUCAGGAUUGGAUAACUGAUGGAGAAAUAACUCCAAAACAUCAACCUGUCACCACAAUACAAGUAAAUUUCUCAUUUAUUAAACUCCUGGUUUGGUUUUGGAUACAUGUGGAAUUCUUUUCUACAUAGAUAUCGGGGGAUGUUGCAGUUGUUUGGCAAAUGCCUGUUGAAUGAAUAAAAUUAUUAAUGGGAAAUUUUCACUAUAUGUAGUUGUAUAAGUCAAUAUGAACUCAGUGUGUAAAUAACCAAAUUUUCAGGAGGACAAAUGUGAGAAGCUUGUAAACAUGAAAACAUUUUCAAUUUCAAUAACUUGAGAAAUACAAUUAAACAAUUAAUAUAUUAAACUCUGCUUAGGGUGUAGAAAGUCAGAUAAUCUGCAAAACUCACAGCUUUUUCUGAGCCCAUCAGACAGCUGAGGCUGUGGUACAAGCAUCUAGGGUAAUCAAAUGUCUAGGGGAAAAUAUAUCCAAGGAAAGAGCAGAUGGGAGCAUUUUCUGACCUGGGGUAGAUAGUUGACAUUAUAUAUUCCACAAAAUUGAAGAAUUUAGCUAAAAAUUUUAAUUUGCCUAAGGUUGAGCUGGGACUAGCAUGAGAAUGUAGAAUUACUGGGAACCUCAGUGACAUGGAGAACUUAUACCCACCCACUUGUAGGCACUUCCUUGAUGCCACUGGAUGGUCUUGGGGAAGACUAAGG
rnacentral:lncRNA from 1 species